UACGUAGGGUGCAGGCGUUAAUCGGAAUUACUGGGCGUAAAGCGUGCGCAGGCGGUCUUUUAAGUCAGAUGUGAAAGCCCCGGGCUUAACCUGGGAAUGGCCGUCGAAACUGGCGAACUGGAGUGUGGCAGAGGGGGGUGGAAUUCCGCGUGUAGCAGUGAAAUGCGUAGAGAUGCGGAGGAACACCGAUGGCGAAGGCAGCCCCCUGGGCUGACACUGACGCCUCAGGCACGAAAGCGUGGGGAGCAAACAGG
rnacentral:rRNA from 1 species